AGCAGCCGCGGUAAUUCCAGCUCCAAUAGCGUAUAUUAAAGUUGUUGCAGUUAAAAAGCUCGUAGUUGAAUUUCGGAGUUUAUCGGUUGGUCGGGCUUCACUGUCCGCACUGGCCUGAUGGAUUCCUACCUUCUGAAUAACCAGCAUGCUAUUAAUUUAGUGCGUUGGGGAAGCAGAGCUAUUACCUUGAAAAAAUUAGAGUGCUUAAAGCAGGCUUAUGCUUGAAUAGAUUAGCAUGGAAUAAUAAAAUAGGACGGCUUGGUUCUAUUUUGUUGGUUUCUAGGAUCACCGUAAUGAUUAAUAGGGAUAGUUGGGGGCAUUAGUAUUCAAUUGUCAGAGGUGAAAUUCUUGGAUUUAUUGAAGACUAACUUCUGCGAAAGCAUUUGCCAAGGAUGUUUUCAUUAAUCAAGAACGAAAGUUAGGGGAUCGAAGACGAUCAGAUACCGUCGUAGUCUUAACCAUAAACUAUGCCGACUAGGGAUCGGACGAUGUUAAUUUUUAAUGACUCGUUCGGCG
rnacentral:rRNA from 1 species